AACGCUGGCGGCGUGCCUAAUACAUGCAAGUCGAGCGGACAGAUGGGAGCUUGCUCCCUGAUGUUAGCGGCGGACGGGUGAGUAACACGUGGGUAACCUGCCUGUAAGACUGGGAUAACUCCGGGAAACCGGGGCUAAUACCGGAUGGUUGUUUGAACCGCAUGGUUCAAACAUAAAAGGUGGCUUCGGCUACCACUUACAGAUGGACCCGCGGCGCAUUAGCUAGUUGGUGAGGUAACGGCUCACCAAGGCGACGAUGCGUAGCCGACCUGAGAGGGUGAUCGGCCACACUGGGACUGAGACACGGCCCAGACUCCUCGGGAGGCAGCAGUAGGGAAUCUUCCGCAAUGGACGAAAGUCUGACGGAGCAACGCCGCGUGAGUGAUGAAGGUUUUCGGAUCGUAAAGCUCUGUUGUUAGGGAAGAACAAGUGCCGUUCGAAUAGGGCGGUACCUUGACGGUACCUAACCAGAAAGCCACGGCUAACUACGUGCCAGCAGCCGCGGUAAUACGUAGGUGGCAAGCGUUCCGGAAUUAUUGGGCGUAAAGGGCUCGCAGGCGGUUUCUUAAGUCUGAUGUGAAAGCCCCCGGCUCAACCGGGGAGGGUCAUUGGAAACUGGGGAACUUGAGUGCAGAAGAGGAGAGUGGAAUUCCACGUGUAGCGGUGAAAUGCGUAGAGAUGUGGAGGAACACCAGUGGCGAAGGCGACUCUCUGGUCUGUAACUGACGCUGAGGAGCGAAAGCGUGGGGAGCGAACAGGAUUAGAUACCCUGGUAGUCCACGCCGUAAACGAUGAGUGCUAAGUGUUAGGGGGUUUCCGCCCCUUAGUGCUGCAGCUAACGCAUUAAGCACUCCGCCUGGGGAGUACGGUCGCAAGACUGAAACUCAAAGGAAUUGACGGGGGCCCGCACAAGCGGUGGAGCAUGUGGUUUAAUUCGAAGCAACGCGAAGAACCUUACCAGGUCUUGACAUCCUCUGACAAUCCUAGAGAUAGGACG
rnacentral:rRNA from 1 species